AGUGCCUUUUCUCAGGGAAGAGGCCAUCACUUUAAGAUGCUGACUCUCCUACUCCUUCUCCUGGGACAAGGUUCUGUGUUUGGUGCUGUCGUCUCUCAAAAGCCAAGCAGGGGCAUCUGUCAACAUGGAACCUCCAUGACAAUCCAGUGUCAUGUCGAUAGCCAAGUCAACUUGAUGUUCUGGUACCGUCAGCUCCCCAGACAGAGCAUGACACUGAUUGCAACUGCAAAUCAGGGCUCUGGGGCCACAUAUGAGAAAGGAUUUGCUGAAGACAAGUUUCCCAUUAGCCGCCCAAGUCUAACAUUCUCAACUCUGAAUGUGAGCAACAUGAGUCCCGAAGACAGCGGCAUAUACUUCUGCAGUGCUGGAGACACAGUGCUGGGCACAGAUCAAAGAUCUGAGCAAGAACCUUAGCUCCCUCCUACCCAGCUCCCCUCACAUGAGCCUGAGGGCCCUGCCAAGAUGAAACGGAGGGAAGAAACCACAGCUCCUGGGCAGACACAGCUGUUUCUGUGCUUGCAGGUGAGCAUGGGUAUGAAUGGGUAGACUGGGGAUAAGAAGAGCAUCUCUAGGACUAGCUGGGGAGUUCUGUCCACAGGCAGGAAGAGUGGCUCCUGGAAAGUUGAGGGUAAAAUUUCUUCCAGAUGAAUGCUCAGAAAUACCCAACAAAAACAAUCAGAUACAGUUUUCUUCAAAUGGCAGCCUUUAACUGUUUUAUCUCCAUGCUCUAUUUAGUUGGUGUUUGAUCACAAUAUAUUUUGGAAGAACUUUAGUCAUCUUGAAACAAAGCUGGUACAUUACAUUGAUGACAUCUGGUUGUUCUCAGUGAAUAGGAAUUAUAAAGUCCUCUAGAUGCCUUGAUAUGACACAUGCAUCCCAAGUCAAUAUAAAAUCUUCAAAGUUCAGGAACCUUCUAUAAUGGUGAGUUUGGGAGUGGUCCGCAGGUUUGGGGCAUGUUGAAAUAUCUCCUCUAAUGUGAGAAGUAAGCUGCCGUGCCUUAGGUCAUCUACCACAAAGGAAGAGG